UACUGAGUGCUUACUAUGUGCCAGGCA
rnacentral:piRNA from 4 species